rnacentral:misc_RNA from 1 species
CUGGCUUGUAUUAAUAGAGUGGUAAAUAAUGAAAGUUAGAAGGUCAAGAGAGGGAAGCAUGACUGCUAAUAGAUCUGGUUCAUUAUGAAUCCUACAGUUUGAUUUUGGUCCCUUGGAAUCUUAAAUCGAAACCACACCAACAAAUGGCCAACCCUACCUCCCCAGAUACCAACUUUUUAUUUCACAUGCCAUGGUCCAUACAGGGAUUUUAUUCUACAAUGUUCGCUUAUAGAGAUUAUUAAGUUGCUUGAAUGGCAACAAAUGUGCUGUGUGGAACACAAAACUUAAUAGAAAUGAAGCGAGUUGACUUGCCAUGCAGGGCUCUGAGGAAGAUAAUGUGCAAUAACUUACAGACGGCUUAGUUUGCUCAGUGCUGCUGGCUUAAAACUGGCUAAUCCAGUUACUUCCCUACCUGUUACCAAGCUGUUUAUGUCAUAGGUGCCUUCAUAUGUGUAGAUGGGUUCCAAAUCACAGAAUGCCUUAGCAACUAGAAAAUCAGCUAAAAUUCCAUUGCCGCCAAGCAACUCCCGCCCAAUAGCAACUGUUUCCCUUGCUCUCAAUGUAAUCCAUGCCUUUGCCAUACUGGCACGACCUGGAGUCAUUUUACCCUUUUCAUACAACUUGCAAAGGCGCCAACCAACAAGAAACAUUGCUUGAACGUUACCAAGCAUGAGAACUAGUUUCUGUUGGUUGAUUUGAAAAGCAGCCAAUGGUGCUCCAAACUGUUUCCUCUCUUUUAGAUACCUGUGACAAAUGUCAUAGACCCCCAUUGAUAUGCCAAUAGGUUGCCAAGCAACCAUUAUGCGUGAAACAGCAAGAACCUAUCUUAAAUACAGUAAUCAGAUGGGUGGCAUAAAAAUAUGAAAACAUGAAUACAAGGGUGAUAUAAUGCAUCAUUGACAUAACUCAGCUCUCUAAAAUAUUUAGACAUGUAAGAUUAGCAUUUAGAUGUUUCUACAAAUUGCUAAAAAUACCAUAGGUGAGCUGAUGCAAGGUAUUAUGCUAAAAAUAAUAAAUAAAUAAAUAUGUAUGCAUACUUCCAGAAACGCAAAGACACACACACAUAAAGAAGCUUCAUUUCCUAACAAGCAAAAGGAGAAAGAAGUUUAGUUAGGGUUAGAUUUUUUAUUUUAUAGCAUUACAUUGUUUCAAAUAUCAGUAAUUCAAGCCUGCUUAAAACAAAAUUGGCUUAUCAUGAUCAGUCAUCAGUAUCUAGUUGACCAAACUAAUCAUUCAAGCCUGUUUAGAACAACAUGGGUAUGUUAUAUUAUACACAAGUGAACCAUACAACAGAUAAGUAAGAGCCAGUGAAUACUGAGGCAGCUUCAAGCUAAAGACAUCUUCAGGAGCCAUCAGUGCAAAUACAGUGCAGGCAAACAAUAUCAAAGACAAGGCUGUUUCUAACCAUGCCUUUUUUCCUUGCAGCCAGAUAAUGUAGGACAAAGAAAUUAAAACUCUCACAAAAAAAUUGGGUGCUUUUAAUUUGUCCCAUCAAGCUGCUUAUAUCAUUGGUUUUUAAUUUCUCUAGUUGACCUGCUAGGCCACCAUUGAAUCUCAACUGAAUUAUGCUAGUGAUGGCUGUGCAUGACAGUAUGACUAUGAACUCCUGGAGUUUGAUUCCAUUGGAAUUGAUGCUAAACCAAGCUUUUAGUUUUGCAGUAAAAGCUGAAGCAGCCCUAGUUGCAGCAUCCUUGCCACAAUAAUCAGUCUUGGUUACCAUUCAGCUGAAUUGCUUUGCCUUCAAGUCAAAUGACAUGGAUUCAAACAAGUUUAAGACUUCAAAAUUUUUAUAUUACUAUAUAUAGGAAGCCUUCAAUGUUUAUGACCAAAGAUGAGGAACUGCUGACUAAGUAGUUGAUGCUAGACUAAAAAAAUGCAAGUGCAUGAAAAAUUAAGAGCACAAUCAUUUGCAAUAAGAGCACUCAUCAGCUGAACCUUAUUUGUAUCUUGAAAGGAAUUGACCCCUGGUAACCUGUCUUCAUCAGCGACAAACACUUGUUUUAACAGAAUAUCCCCAUUCUGCACAAUCCGCAAGCCAAUUUUAUUUUCUAUUUUUGUGGCUGUUAAUCCCGGGGCAUCCUUCUUUACUAUAAAUCCAUUGAUCUGAUUUGUUGAAGUAUUCCUGGCAAAUAUGACUAAAACAUCUGCAAAGGUGCUGUUUCCUAUCCAGCGCUUUUGCCCCUCAAGUAUCCAUCCUCCUUCCACCUUCAUAGCUGUAGUUUUCAGAGCACUUGCAUCACUUCCAUAGUCAGGCUCAGUCAAAGCCCAACAAGCUAUGGUGCCUAACUGAGCCAAAGAAGGCAAAUAUUUCUGCUUCUGUACCUCUGACCCACAAAAUGCUGUUUUUGACAGUUGACAAUUUAGACCAGGUUGUAAUUUAUUGGCAGAAUCUUGAUUUAUAAGGAACAUUGUGCAUUUGGAAACAAAAUCCAGAAAUUAUGAUGUUAACAAGAACGAUAAAAUUUAAUAAAGAUUGCACCAAUGGUAAGCAUUGCCAGAGAUGAAUGCACCAAAAUGAAGGUAGAACAGCUCGCAUCAACUCUAGCAACUUCUGCCAUAGCAACAGCAUUUGCAGUGAUGGACAAACCAGGACACCCAUAACCCUUGAUUGUGCCACCAGCAAUAUGCAGAGCACCAAGCUUGGGAAUAAUAUGAAAGGGAAACUUUGCCUUCUCCCAGUACUAAGAAGGAAUAAAAAAUUACAAGUACAUUGCUUAUUUAUAAAAAAAUCUCCAUCUAAAACAUACAACAUAAUCAAAACUGAAAUAACAAUGCAGCAUUUAGCUAUCACAUACACAAAAGAACUCUAAAGUUCAUUGCAAAUGAAAAGCUAGAAGUAUCAUCAGAAAGAGACCUCUGCCAUUAUAGGAGCUACUUCCUUUUCCAUACAUUGCCUUACUUUCAUUCUAAUCGCCUGCUCCUCAGGAGUCAAUAAGUCAUCAAAGUGAUAAUAGUCGGAAGCGCAGGGAGGAAAUAUAGAUGCUGGAGUUGCUUGAGGGAAUGCAAUGGAAACAUCCAACGGUGGUAAAUUAAAAUAAGAACUCUUCAGACUUUCAUCAUGAUCAUCUCGAUUUUUAGAAGCGUCGACCGUCAUGAUUGAGGAUAUUAGAGGAACAGAGAACACAGAGACGUGAUUGUUAUAGAUUUUAGAAAGGGCAGAGGAACGCGCAGAGAGCAAGGAAAAUAUUUAUAAGUAAGUUAAUUGGGCUUGUCCCGGGUGGUUGAUGUGAUAGGAAUGGGAUAGAAUUGAAUAGUAUGGCACGCAUAUUUAUGUUUUGGCAUAACGAAAAUGGGUCAGGAAU